rnacentral:rRNA from 1 species
AACGAACGCUGGCGGCAUGCCUAACACAUGCAAGUCGAACGAGACCUUCGGGUCUAGUCGCGCACGGGUGCGUAACGCGUGGGAACCUGCCCUUAGGUUCGGAAUAACUCCCCGAAAGGGGUGCUAAUACCGGAUAAUGUCUUCGGACCAAAGAUUUAUCGCCUUUGGAUGGGCCCGCGUUGGAUUAGCUAGUUGGUAGGGUAAAAGCCUACCAAGGCGACGAUCCAUAGCUGGUCUGAGAGGAUGAUCAGCCACGCUGGGACUGAGACACGGCCCAGACUCCUACGGGAGGCAGCAGUGGGGAAUAUUGGACAAUGGGCGAAAGCCUGAUCCAGCAAUGCCGCGUGAGUGAUGAAGGCCUUAGGGUUGUAAAGCUCUUUUACCCGGGAUGAUAAUGACAGUACCGGGAGAAUAAGCUCCGGCUAACUCCGUG